UAAGCAUUAUCAGUAAUCAGACAGAUAAAGCUCCCUUCGUAGACCCAUUGUAUUUCCUUCCUCUAUCUUCCUCUGCAGCACUGCCUGCUCUAGCCCUUCUACACCCAACCUUAAAACUAUAUACAGUUCGCAAAAUCAAGAAUUUGAAUAAAAUUCCAAUGCUAUUUAACGUUAUCUGAUGAAAUUACUCUUCAAUUGCCAAAAAUGGAUGGCCUUACACUAGCCACCGCCACUGCCACCAACGCCACAGCUAGCUCUUCCUUGUAUAUUAACAAAUCGCUCUUUUCUGUGGUUUCGGUUGAAGGAAGAAGAAUUAGAGGUACAAGAAGGGAAAUAUGUUGCCCUAGAAAGGGUAAAUUUGUUGUUUUGGCGGCAAAAGAAGAAGAGCCCAACCUUAACCAGUGGGACCAAAUGGAGCUCAAGUUUGGCCGAAUGCUUGGCGAAGACCCCAAACUUACCCUUGCUAAGAUAAUGGCUAGAAAAGCAAACCCGGAUGUUUCGUACCUUGAAGUCGAGAAAUCAUUUUAUAAAAAUAAGGGUAAAAUUGUAGAAAUACAAGAGCUUCCAUUUGAUGUCUCAAAGGAUAAGAAAUCGUCAGAUUCAUUGGAUGGCUUGACUUUGGCACGACCUGUUCCUAAAGAAGGGUUUAAGUUUCAAGCUGAUGAUAGGCCAGUAGGAGCAGAGAUAAAGAAGCCAAGGCAACCAGUUGGAAAAGCUAUGGACAAUACUAAAAGCAGUGUUCCUAAUGUUAUAUUGAGAAAGCCAUCUAUGUUUGUUGAGGAUGAUGUGGAAGACAAGCCCUCUUCAAGGUCUAAAGUGAGGAUUAAACCAAAUUUGACGUUGAAAAUGAGGAAUGAUCCAGCUAAGGAGAAGUUUAGUGAUAUGACUCUGUUGAGAAGGCCAGAAAUACUGAGUGUUGAAGAAAAGCAAGAGUCUUCGGAUAAUGCAGAGUCCAAAGGUUACAAUAAAGUAACUGAAUUGAGAACAGGGACAGAAGAAGAUGAGAAUAACUAUAGUGGUUUUACUUUAUUAAAGAAGCCUGAAACUACGAAGGAUAAUGUUGAAGUAUCUUCGGAGACUGGAGGUGCAUCAGUUGUGAUGGAGCCAGGGCCAGAAGCUAAACCCAGAUUAGGAAUACAGCCAAUUGAGGUGAGCAAUAUUGGGUACGGUUCUGACAGAAAUAUUGUUGAUUCUGCUGUGAAGUCCUCAGUAGAAGCUAUGCUGCAAGGGAAGCCAAAGAGAUUAGACCAAUCUGUUAAAAAAACAUCAAGCUCUGAUAUCGAAAAGACAGCUAUUUUGAAUGAUGAGAGUUCUGGAAAAGUCGAUGAGCUUAAUAAUCUCCCUACUACAUCACCAUCUGAGGAUGCUGAUUGGUCCAGGGCAGAGGAGUUGCUUAGGACGGGAUAUAGAGGGGAUGUGGAGUUAGUCAGCGCCAGCACAAAGGGUUUUGUUGUAUCUUUCGGCUUAUUGAUAGGAUUUUUGCCAUACCGAAAUCUGUCUGCCAAAUGGAAGUUCUUAGCAUUUGAGUCAUGGUUGAAACAGAAAGGGUUGGACCCAUCAAUGUAUAAGCAAAAUUUAGGAAUUAUUGGAAGUUAUGAUAAUGUAGACAAGAACUUCUCUCCUGAUUCGAGAGCUGAUCCAGAAAGUGAUCGAAGCAUUAGAGGAGAAAUUACACCAGAUAUGAAGUUGGAAGAUCUUCUUAAGAUUUAUGACCAAGAUAAACUCAGAUUCUUGUCCUCAUUUGUUGGUCAGAAAAUUAAGGUGAACGUGGUAGCAGCUGACCGGAAUUUGAGGAAACUUAUAGUUUCUUUGAGGCCAAAAGAAAAGGAAGAGUCAAUUGAGAAAAAGAGAAAUCUCAUGGCUAAACUUCAAAUUGGAGAUGUUGUGAAGUGCUGCAUCAAGAAAAUAACCUACUUUGGAAUUUUUGUUGAGGUUGAAGGUGUGCCUGCGUUAAUUCACCAGACUGAGGUGUCAUGGGAUGCAACCUUGGAUCCUGCAUCAUAUUUCAAAGUUGGUCAGAUUGUGGAGGCAAAAGUCCACCGAUUGGAUUUUUCACUUGAGCGUAUUUUCUUAUCAUUAAAGGAGAUUACGCCUGAUCCGCUGAUUGAGGCCUUGGAGUUUGUGGUUGGUGAUCGUGAUCCCUUGGAUGGGAGAUUACAAGCAGCGGAGGCGGAUUCUGAGUGGGCUGAUGUAGAAUCACUUAUCAAAGAACUGCAACAAAUUGAAGGAAUCCAGUCUGUAUCUAAAGGCCGUUUCUUCUUAAGUCCUGGUCUAGCUCCAACAUUUCAGGUCUAUAUGGCGUCCAUGUUUGAGAACCAGUACAAGUUGCUUGCUCGAUCUGGAAACAAAGUGCAAGAGGUGAUAGUUGAAGCAUCACUGGGUAAAGAAGAAAUGAAAUCUACAAUUUUAUCAUGUGCUAGUAGAGUAGAAUGAUUGUUCGCGGAAUCUUAAAUUUUGAAUUCCCUCCUAAUUAUCCCGUCAGUGGGAGACCUUUCCUGCAUUGAGACUCCAGUUCAAUUGACAGGUUACAUUGGUGUUCAAAUUUAAUAACGCAUUCAACUCAUGUUGGAUAAUUUAUUCUCACUCUUUAAUCAAAUGAAGAGCUCUGGAUUGUUAAAUGGUUAUAUAUGGAGUCUGUAGCUGCAACUUAUUCUACCCUAAAAUCUCACAUUACCACUGUUUAAUUUUUAGUAUAGGUAAUGGGGGAUGUACGCUGAUAAUUGUGACUAAAUUAUUCAUUUGUUUAUCAGUUCUCUAUGACAGCAGUGUACUUAUUUAAGUGAAAGACUCAGUAUUCUUAAGUAA